rnacentral:lncRNA from 1 species
AAAAUCCCUGGUGUUUUAGAGUCGAGACUCUCAAUCUUGACCCGCUGCGUCGGUGACAGUUGAGAGUCCCUGCUCGAGCUUGAAUAAACGACCCUCAUGUGCUUGCAUCGGAAACGGCUUCCUGGUGGUCUUUGGGACUUCGCAAUCUGGGCACAACAGCCACAAUAUGGGCUGUUUCCCACUCACCACCACACUGAUUUUGGAUACAGCAAGGGAGGAGUCAUGAGGAAAUUUAAAACAGCAACAGAGACAUGGGAAUUAUAAGGAAAAGAACACAGAACACUACUAGCACAUGCUGGUGUCUGACCCGCGUAAAUCAUCUAUCAAAUGGGAACAUUUCCAUCUUGUGUACCGUAUGGUGAUAGAAAUUUGUGCUAAGGGUUGCACGCAGGGCUUUGUGCAGGCUAGGUAAGCAUCCUAUCACUUAGUUACAUCACCAGCCCUCUAAUGCUUUUUUAAUUAUUUUAUUUAUCAUAACAG